rnacentral:sRNA from 1 species
GAAAACAAAUAUUUACUAAUAAAACUAAAUUUAUGUAGUACAAAACAAAUGUAGCUUUUUGGAUGGUUGGAAAGCAUUAUACUAGGAUAUUUUGAAAGCUAAUGAAAUUGUUUAAUUCCAGCUUGUUAAAAGUAGGUCAUCUUCAGCCAAUCAAUAUUCGUCAACAGCACGAACCCAAAAUCGGGCCGUGUUCCGUUUUUUACGACUUGAUUAGGACAUUUAGGUACAACAUAUAUUUAGAUGACCAAACGGCGCAAACCAAACCCAAGUGCCUGGAAAACAGGAGGAUAGAUACCUUUAACGUAGACUGGAAUAGCGCCACAUCAGGUUGCACCCUGUGAUAUAAGGCAAGAGUAUAAGCUUAAAUAAUUUCUGUACAUAUUACAUACCCAAUAUUUUCAGAUAGUUUUGGAGUGUCGGAUGUUUUGAAGCAGCUUAAACUGAGCGCAUUUGUUGCAUGCUUUGCAAUUACGCCGAUUAUUGGCCCUUUCUCUCCCGCCUGCGAUAAACAAGAAUCUGAUGUAGAUUAGGCCACGGACUGUGGACUAAGUUGGGCCUCCUGCGUGGACGACCUGCAGAUUGCUGAUAGCCAGGGAAGUUACAUUAUUGACAAAUUAAGGACCACAAUUAAUUUCAAGGACCUUCACGACUAACAAAGCAAUUUUUUCCAGGAUCGGACUUUAAUUAGGCCAGAUAUAGCUAUUUUACGUUCAAAUAAGCUACAAUUCUAAUUUAUGCUCGUUUUUUUAUCAUUUUAAGACAAAUAAUUAAGAAA